rnacentral:lncRNA from 1 species
CUUUAAGGCCGCUCUCACAUGAUGACGGUCUGUGGAGAAUCCUGAAGAAGAAGACUCCACACAAAAGAGCGCACUGUCUGCCGCAAAGGUCAGAGUUCACAACAAACGCACAACACUGGUUGGUUCUGCAGAAAAACUCUCUGGUGGUCCAAAAGCAGCAUCCACAGGUGAACUGAUGACGUCACAGAACCGCUCCUCAGGUGUCAAUGUGUGUGUCUAUGUGUGGUUGUGUUUGUUUGAGUGGUUGUGUGUGGUGUGCAUGUGGUCAUGUUGGCUAGGAUAGGCUCCAGCAUCAUCAGACAGAGAUCCCGUCAUUCCUGGUGAGGGGGAGCUGGGGGGGUCCGGGUCAGAUGCUCGUUUUUAACGUUGGUCGGAUCAGCUGAUCUUCAAUCAGUCGACCCCCACCAUAAUUUUCUAGAUGUAAAGCAGAAUUUGCUUUGCGUUUUAGGUGGGGGCUAUGUGUAUGUAUAGAUAUGUGCGGGGGUGGGGGUGGUUUCUAGUAAUUUCUGAGGAAAUUUAUAGCAAACGGAGGUGAGACUUCAAAACCGCUGCUUGGGGGCGGAGCUUAGCCGGAACGACGCCCCCCCGCUCCCGCUCCCUCUCACCUCCCGGUGUGGCGGCGGACGGGGGGAGGCCAGUCGCGGAGUUUCUAUCGAGAGGAGAAGUUUGGACAUGAACGCGUCCCGCGGGCUGACACAGGCUGAUCUCUGAGCCCCUCCCCGGCCGGUGGCACCAUGACGCUCCUCCGCUGCGCCCCGUGGAGCGCCCUGCUCCUCGCGGCUCUGCUGCAGAUCUGCCAAGCAGACUGUGAGCAAAAGUGUGAACCUCAGAAUUUAACAGAGUUGAUAAUAGUAACCACCAGCAUCAGUUUAAACCAUCCAGCCAACUGCACAUUAUCCACCGGUAACCAAACAAAAGAAGGAACACUGACUGAUCUGUUCCCUGGAACCGUCUAUGAAGUCAACUUUAAAUGUUUUAACUGCUGUGGAAAUAUCACAACCAAACCGGAUAAAGUCAGAAACCUCACUGUUACUGAAGUCACCACUGUCUCUAUGACUCUGAGCUGGAUGGAACCAUUGGGAAACAGUUCAUUCUAUGAAGUACAAUGGUCAGAUGGAUCAUCUACUCUAAAAGACAAUGUGACUGAUAAAAACAUGAUUAUAUCUAACCUGACUGCUGGUGUCCAGUAUGGCAUAAAUGUCACAGCUGUGGCUGCAGAUAAGCAAACUAAAGGAGAGAGUGUGUUUACCUCCAACUAUACAAAACCAGAUACAGUCAGUGACGUCACUGUUACUGAAAUCACCACGUCCUCUAUAUCUCUGAACUGGACCGAACCAUCAGGAAACAGCUCCUCUAAUACAGUAGAACAGUCAGAUGGACCAACUACUCUAAAUCCCGUUGUAACUGAUAAGAGCACCACUAUAUCUUACCAGACUACUGGUGUCCAGAACACCACAAGUGUCACAGACAUUCCAGCAGAUAAUCAAACUAAAGAAAAUAGUUUAACUACCAGUUAUACACGUAAGUAAAGAUGGAUAACAGUUAAACUUGCUGAGAUAUGUGUGCAAACAAUAACCUUAAAUUAGUCCUAUGCCUAUUUUGGAAAUAGAAAUUCAGGAUUAAAUUAAACCAAAUGAGCCAUUUUUCAAAAGAAUGACUCAAUAUCUUACAAAAUGUGAAUCACAUAGAAGGGUGGGAACAUUUAAUUAAAAAUGUUUGAAUGUUUUUUAAAACAGUGACACCAAAAAUAAACAUUCAAAUUGAAGAACAAAAUGAAAUGUACCUAAAAAAAAUCGUUUAGGUCAGUGGUCCCCAACCACCGGGCCGCGGACCGGUCCGUGGACUCCUCGCCACCGGACCGCGGGAGAAUUUUUUUUUUUUAUGAGACGGAAAUAUUUUAUUUUGAAAAUCGACCGGAUUCUCUCGAUUAGCUUGAGCGCUAAAAGCAGUUUGGCGGUGUGUAACACGUUUGCAAAUGGAUUAGAUAAGUGGGACAGAACAGACGCAAGAACCGGUGAUUCCCGCACACCGAGCUGGUCUGCAGAGAGAUGUGACUUUCAUGAACGAAUCUAAUCUUUUGAGCGGUCAUAGAAAUGCUGAAAGGAGCUGAUCUAUACAGAUUCUCAUUUCAGGGAAGUUGUGAACACGCGAUUGAUUAAUACAGUGUUUCUCAAAUGGUGGGGCGGCUCUGUGCGAUGGCAAGGGGGGCGCAGGACAACCCGAGGAUCGUGCAAUUUAUGUUAGUUACUAAACAGUCGAUCGGAGGACCGCGUCAGUUGUGAUAUCCACACUCAGAAAGGAGAAUAUUUAACUAAACCUAAAGAAUUGCAAUGGAAAAAUGUUAAACAGAGAUGAAAAGAAACUGAGAGAAAGAAAGACGGAAAGCUGGGCACUGCGCGUGUGUGUUUGGGGGUGGGGCUUGCACAUGCAGAAGCGCAGGACGGAGAGAGAGAGAAACAACAUCAACACAAAACGUAAAGAAAAUUAGAUCAUUAGAAAAGAAGGAAAAAAACUGGAACCAUUCGACUUUUGAUAGAAUGAAGGAAGAGAAUCUGCAGGAAAUAAUUGUCUAUUCUAUAUAUUUAUGGGUCCACAACCAACCUGUGCAGAAUCUUCUCUAAAUCAGAACAGAUCUUUAAGAAACCAGAUUACAUCCUCAAAGCUGAG